GCAAGUCGAGCGCUACCUUCGGGUGGAGCGGCGGACGGGUUAGUAACGCGUGGGAAUAUACCCAGUUCUACGGAAUAGCCUCGGGAAACUGAGAGUAAUACCGUAUACGCCCUUCGGGGGAAAGAUUUAUCGGAAUUGGAUUAGCCCGCGUUAGAUUAGGUAGUUGGUGGGGUAAUGGCCUACCAAGCCUACGAUCUAUAGCUGGUUUGAGAGGAUGAUC
rnacentral:rRNA from 1 species